CUACAUCAACCCAAAAGCCGAAGGUUCGCCAAAGGAGGUACUUCUCUCACUCUUUUUACUUCAUUUCAAAAGCUUAUAGCGAUACUCUUAAAGCGAGAAUAAGAUGCGAUAAAGCUAGAAGAAGUGAGAGCUGAGAUAUAUAUGAUAGGGAGCAACAUGGGAGGAUCGCGACAACUUAUUAAGAUUUUCAAAUAAAUUGAACGUUAUUGAGAUCUUCUCUAGAUCUCAGCAGAUUUAUACGCAAUCGGAAUACAGUGUAGGAGAUCUUUAAAUGAAACGCUACAGGAUCAGCAUAGAGAAUAUUAACACGAAAGAGAGAGAGAGAACCGGUGGGUAGCUGCGGCGGCGGGGGCGGCGCCGCCGGUGACGGAGAAGAGAGGAGAGGAAGCCAGAGGAAAG
rnacentral:lncRNA from 1 species